CAGUCGCCGCGGGAAUACGUAGGUGGCAAGCGUUGUCCGGAAUUAUUGGGCGUAAAGGGCUCGCAGGCGGUUUCUUAAGUCUGAUGUGAAAGCCCCCGGCUCAACCGGGGAGGGUCAUUGGAAACUGGGAAACUUGAGUGCAGAAGAGGAGAAUGGAAUUCCACGUGUAGCGGUGAAAUGCGUAGAGAUGUGGAGGAACACCAGUGGCGAAGGCGACUCUCUGGUCUGUAACUGACGCUGAGGAGCGAAAGCGUGGGGAGCGAACAGGAUUAGAGACCCCUGUAGUCCCUGUCUCUUAUAC
rnacentral:rRNA from 1 species